AUGCGCUCCGUCGCCGAUGGCGGCAAGUGGGUGAAGCAUAAGUCAAGCGGGAUGACCACCUUCCCAAACAGCCACUACAAGUCGCCGUCGACGCCGCACGUGGUGCCUCUCCAGCUAGUGUACACUGCGACCUUCAGCCUCGCCCUGCACGACUCGAACAUCGAGGGUUUCGCGGAUCUCUACUGGACUACUUCUAUGCUGUUCACCGCGGCUCCAAAGAGUCCAGUACUCUACGGGGAGCAGAUACAGCAUAUCAUGGAGGAAUGACGCACCGCACCGCACCGCACCGCUCCGCUGCUGCUGCUGCUGCUGCUGCUGCUGCUGCUCAUCAUCUCUCCGAAGCUUCUCAUCUCCUCUCCACUCCUCCUCCUCCUCCCCCUCGCCACCUCCCACGCGCUGCCACGCCGGCGACACGACCACUGCCUCCCCCCGCGCGGGCGCGCCAAGCGCCGGGAUCCCGCUGCUGCGUUCCAGUUCGCGGCCGGGGCGUAGUAACCGCAGG
rnacentral:lncRNA from 1 species